rnacentral:rRNA from 1 species
CCUACGGGAGGCAGCAGUGAGGAAUAUUGGUCAAUGGACGCAAGGCUGAACCAGCCAUGCCGCGUGAAGGAAGACGGCCCUAUGAGUUGUAAACCGCUUUUGUACGAGGGUAAACGCAGCUACGUGUAUCUGUCUGAAAGUAUCGUACGAAUAAGGAUCGGCUAAAUCCGUGCCAGCAGCCGCGGUAAUACGGAGGAUUCAAGCGUUAUCCGGAUUUAUUGGGUUUAAAGGGUGCGUAGGCGGUCGGAUAAGUUAGAGGUGAAAUCCCGGGGCUCAACUUCGGAAUUGCCUCUGAUACUGUUCGGCUAGAGUGUAGUUGCGGUAGGCGGAAUGUAUGGUGUAGCGGUGAAAUGCUUAGAGAUCAUACAGAACACCGAUUGCGAAGGCAGCUUACCAAGCUACUUCUGACGUUGAGGCACGAAAGCGUGGGGAGCAAACAGGAUUAGAUACCCGGGUAGUC